UUUCACACAGAAGAACAUUCUCAGAUCUAAGCCUACCUAAAAAUCAAGAGAAAUAAAAUAAGAACUCACCUGUAAAGCCAUAACAAAAUUUUUGCUUCUUUCCAUGGAGACUUCAUCAAACGUCAUCGCUGGAGUCUCCGGCCUCGAUUGCCCCACAUCCAUUCUAAAAACCAACACUUCCAACACAAGCUCACUCACAGUUUCAAAGCUCACCUCAGAAAAUCAAUCAUACGUACUUAAUAAUAAUUUUAGACCAAAUUACAACAGAAUAAUUUGUGGGCUUAAGUUAGAUUGGUAGCCAAGCAUAUGAUUUAUGAAGGUGAUGAAUGAGGAAUCAGGUCAAGUGUGUUUAUGUGUGCAAUUGAAGCAAUUCUUGGGAAUUGCGGUGCAGCAGUAAAUUGAAUUGCAAGAAAGGAAGAAUAAAGUGGGAUUGGUAUUUAUUGUGGGCAGGGAAAAUGAAAAAGGUUGUUGAAGUGGACCUACAGUUUUUAAGCUUACGGGGACUCGUCAUUUUCAGCCCAAUCGCUGAACCUGCCCCGUUUUUUCCUGUUUGCGUUGACGCUAUGGUCUUGGUC
rnacentral:lncRNA from 1 species